rnacentral:lncRNA from 1 species
CAGAGUUUCGAGCGCCGCUUCCUGGCGGCUCGCGCGCUGCCCUCUUUUCCCUGGCAGAGCCUAGAAGAAAAACUAAGGGAGCCCUCAGGUUCUGAGCUGUUGCUGGCUAUUUUGCAGAAGACUGUGAAGCACCCUGUGUGUGUCCAGCAUGGGCCCUCUCUGAAGUAUUCCCGCUGCUUUCUCUCGAAGCUCAUCAAAAAGACCGCGCUGGGAUACACUGGGAAGAGGUGGCCCCUCACACUGGCAAACUGUUCCCUUAUGAAGAGCAUUCGGCCAUCGUAAUCCUGAAGCUCACGCUGACCGGUCGCCAUGGUGUUUGAAGGUGAUCUGAAAACUGAGAUGGCUGUGGUGGGAAAGCGGACAGCUCCUGUUAACAACCACAAUGCACAGGAAGCACAGGCUGUGACGCUGGUGCCUGCCCUCGGCAGCUCACUGGGGUGGACACAGGCUCAGAGCAAGCAUUCCACUGUACAAAUAAAUAUGUAAAUUUAUUAACUAUGACUGUCCUGUCAGCUCAGCCUUGCUCAGCUAAGCCGGGUGAACACAGGAUAUCCCAGAGCUCACAGCAGCCAGCAGAACCAGAAUACAAGGAAUGUGAAGAGUCCAGAAACAAAAACCCAGGAUGAAGAAGUUGGUUGGCAGGGUCACCGGAAGUAACAAAAGUCCUCAGUUCGGAAGAGCUUCUCAGAUGCUGGAUGAUUCUUUUCCUGGGUGUAACCACUGCCGUCCUCAGGCUUCUGACCACUAGGGGGCACUCAAGAGCCCUGGCAGGAAGGGUGGGCACAGGAUGGAUGGGGCCUACCCUCUGGGCCUGGAGGUCAUUUGUGAGUGACCAACAACGGCAGCACAGUCUGCUGCCAGCUCUCAUCCCAUCGUAGCUGCUCUGACUCCUGGAGUCUCUUCCGGAACUGGCUCAGCUUCCCAGCAGGGUCGGGAAACUUUGAGAAAAGCAUCUAGAGGAAAAGGCAGACUGGACUUAGCUCUGCACCAGGCCAGGCUCUUCCUGCUCAUGUCCAGCAGUGCCCUCCCCUCACUGGACACUGGAUGGGUCCAUCUUCUACAGCCCUGCCCUGGAGAGUGGCCAUCCUCUACCUGCCGUCCCCUUCCCUCCCCCUCCCAUCCUCAACACAACUGUACAGAGGUAGUGAUGGAAAUCUUUAAUGCAUCUAUCAGGGACCAGCAAACUGCAGCCUUCAGGCUGGGUUCUGCCCACCUGGCUUUGUAAAUAAAGUUCUAUUAGAACUCAG